AAGAUUUGGGAGUGGAUAAUUUUGAUUCUGAAAAAUACGUUGAUUUGGUUAAGAAACAUGGUUUGGAAAUUUCACAGCAUGGUGUGGAUCCUAAUAGUCCGUUUACAUGGAAGAUGACAAGGAAAAGACAUGACAGUGAAGUUCACAAGAGCACAGAGGAGAAACCAGGAUG